UACAGAGGGUGCAAGCGUUAAUCGGAAUUACUGGGCGUAAAGCGCGCGUAGGCGGUUUAUCAAGUUGGAUGUGAAAGCCCUGGGCUUAACCUGGGAACGGCAUUCAAAACUGGUAAGCUAGAAUACAGUAGAGGUGAGUGGAAUUUCCGGUGUAGCGGUGAAAUGCGUAGAGAUCGGAAGGAACACCAGUGGCGAAGGCGACUCACUGGACUGAUAUUGACGCUGAGGCGCGAAGGCGUGGGGAGCAAACAGG
rnacentral:rRNA from 1 species